UUCACCAAUCUCUUGGAAUCGUUGGACCGAAAGUUUUGUUGGUGUGUGCUGCAAGAACUGACAUUCCUAACUGGAUGGUUAAGAUUUAGGUUUUUAAAAGCAUAACAUUUUAUUCAACUUGUAUUUUCAUAUGCAUGCACUAUAAAUUUUCAUUUAUUUAGCUGUGGUUGUUAAUAAGCAAGAAUUGUGUGAGGAUUUUCAGACAUCCAGAAUUGUCAUGUUUUACUGCGACAUAAGCGCUAUAAGCAUAUGCUCGAACAUACUGUAAUUGUCCUUAUGUUGGCCAAGACAGUAU